rnacentral:rRNA from 1 species
AUUGAACGCUGGCGGCAUGCCUUAUACAUGCAAGUCGAACGGAAACAGGACGCUAGGAUUCCUUCGGGAUGACUUUGUCGCUGUCGAGUGGCGGACGGGUGAGUAACGCGUAGGAAUUUGCCUCAAAGUGGGGGAUAGCCCGAAGAAAUUCGGAUUAAUACCGCAUGUGCUCUACGGAGGAAAACGGGCCUCUAUUUAUAUGCUCGUGCUUUGAGAUAAGCCUACGUCGGAUUAGCUUGUUGGUGGGGUAAAAGCCUACCAAGGCGACGAUCCGUAGCUGGUUUGAGAGGAUGAUCAGCCACACUGGGACUGAGACACGGCCCAG